CCGUAGAGGGGGCUCCAUCAUAGUCGCUGAGGGUCAAGACCUAGAUCUUCACCUGUUCCCCAACCUUCUGAUACAGUCCACUCCAAGGAAGUUGUGUGGAUGACUUGGGUCUGAGGACAGGAUGCUGUAGUUGAAUGGGGCACUGCCCAACUGUGAGAGAGAACCUGAGAACAAAACACACAGCACGGGUGCUGAAGGAGAACCCACCUGCAGACUCAGAAGACCGAGUUCAGACCCUCGGUUGAGUGUUCAGCAUGUACAGCCAGCCCUGCUGUCUCCUGGUGUGCCGGUCACUGUUCUUCAUCAAUGUCUUCCUUUACUACUGACGAAAGCGAAAGUUAUGCCCCUGAGGGGAGGCAAGGGGAUUUCCAAGCAGACAUUAAAAGAUGAUGCUGUCUUUGAAGUUUCUGGCUUUUUCUUAGACAUGC